GGAACCUGAAAAUGAUAUAAUGUAUAAGGGAGGAUGUCUGUCAGUAAUAUGCAAAUGCUAUGCAUCAUUUUUAUUUCAGGGACUUGAGCAUCCAUGGAUUUGGUAUCCGAGGGCGUCCUGGAACCAACCCCCCAUGGAUAUUGAGGGACCACAGUAUUUUUAUCCUCCAUGUCACCCCAUCCCUGACCUCCAGAAACAAACAAUCAUUUGCCAUUUUAAAGGACCUACUCUAAAUGAGCAACAGAAGAGCUCUCCCGCCCACCACCGACUCCAUGCCUGUUUUCAGCAUUGUAGGGAGGAAGAGUCCCCACCCUGGCUGAUGGCUCUCAGCUCCUGGGAUCAGCUGGCAAUGGAGGGUCAUGUCCCGGCUUCAUUGACUUCUUGCAUCGUAAGGCUCCUCUUAGGAGACAACCUUUCCUCUCAGGCCCUUAGGUCUAAGUCCCCUCUCUCAGCCUUCUCUGAGACCUCAGGGUUAAUCGUCCAAGUGUAAAAACGG
rnacentral:lncRNA from 1 species